rnacentral:lncRNA from 1 species
ACAGAGAGGAUGGAAGUGUUCUUCCCACACUACUCCUUGUUGGACAGUGGAGUGGAAAUCAUCUGCCAUCCAUGGAGACACCAGGAGUUUGGUGGUAAGUAUUCUCCCUCCAAACACUAUUGAUUUACUUACCAGUGAUAGUUUAAAGAUCAAACUUUGGAGUUCCCAUCGUGGCGCAGUGGUUAACGAAUCCGACUAGGAACCAUGAGGUUGCGGGUUCGGUCCCUGGCCUUGCUCAGUGGGUUAACGAUCUGGCGUUGCCAUGAGCUGUGGUGUAGGUUGCAGACGCAGCUCGGAUCCAGCGUUGCUGUGGCUCUGGCGUAGGCCAGUGGCUACAGCUCUGAUUCGACCCCUAGCCUGGGAAUCUCCAUAUGCUGGGGGAGCGGCCCAAGAAAUAGCAACAACAACAACAACAACAAAAAAAAAGACAAAAAACAAAACAAAACAAAACAAAACAAAAAAAUAAAGAUCAAACUUUAACAAAGUGCUUAUAUUCAAUUAAAGGACUGGUAAUUAGGUUUUAUUUGGAGUAAGGCUUUAUUAUUUAUAAAGGAAUCACUCAUUAUUUUUAUACCUAAAACUGGAAUGCCAUUUAACAUGACACAAUCAUAGGUGUUUUACCUAUAGAAAUAAUGAAGACUGAAAUAAAAGUGAAAGAAUAUAAAACUAGUUCCCUUAUUAAGAACAGUACCCUCUAUUCCCUCUGUUUUCUGACCCAACAUCUCAGAGUAGUAAAAAAGUAGCAUGUUUCAAUAGCUUGGUAAAAUAAUGCAUUUAUUCUUUAGGGCAUAGAUUAAUACUUAAAGGAGCACACUGACUCAACUGGUCUCCUGAGAGGUGUGCAUGCCAGUGUCUCCAGGCUGCAUUGCUCUCUGGCUGGGAGAGCCAGCGGAAGCUAGACUGGCAGACAUGGUGUCCAGGCCCCAUGCGCCUGUGGGUGGAAGCCAUCCUGAUUCUCUCUGAGAAUUUUUCUCCAGCCCAACCGAGUGAAGAACUUGCUUUUUUCAAUUUGGGAACAGUGGGUAUUUUCAAGUCACCAAUUUGUGUGAACCCAGAUUUACCACCACAUACUAUUAAAAUGACAGUGAAUGAACAGGGAGUGAGAAGUUCCAAGGCAACAAGGAGGAAAUAUAUGCUUUGUAGCUUUCCCUGCUCCUUAAGUCCUUAUUGGCCUCUGCUGAGAUACCUUCUCUCUCAGUGGCUGUGGUUAUCAGCUGUCUCCAAUGCAUCUCAGUUGAUGGAGCAAGUUGUUACUCCUGCCCAGUCCACCACCACUGCUGCUGGCUGCUGGACCACCCGCUAACCAGCAGAGUGUUUGUUACAAAAUGAAGAUGAAGCAGCUGGAACUUGGGUCUGCGAAGAGAGGCUCUGUCUUUCCUUGCUUGGGUAAGUCAUUCUGUAGCUGACAGCCCCCACCAUCCUACUGACUGCUGCCCCUAAACUGCGAGCCCUGCUUUGAGCACAUUCUUCCAUGCACCUCGCAGGCCUGCUGCAGAGUUGGUGGUAAGCGGGAAGAGAACCACACAGCACUCAAGUGCUUGGCUGCCUUCGGCAUGUCAGUCAAACACUGAAUGCAUGCACGAUGACUUGUUCAAUUAAAUGUGCCUUCAUUUAUCUAAUACAACCCACAAAUUCCUUUAAUUUUGCCACUUCCCACAUCAAAAACGGAAAGCUGAAGAAGGAAGAUUGUAAGGAAGGUUUCACAUUAAAGAUUCUGGUGACAACAACCUGGUGAUUUUUUAGUCAAUCAGGAUUUUUUUUCCCUUGGGAAGAAAUAGAAAGUAGGUGGAUAAUUAUUUAGUUGAGCUUAAAAUGUUUCUUCUGCAUGAGUUCCAGAGAAAAUGAAGAUGCUUUUGUUAUUAGCAAAGUAAUGAAAGGAGG